AUGGGGCGCAGCAGGCGAGAAAACUUUGCAAUGUGCGCAAGCACGACAAGGUUAAUCCGAGUGUUUCCUGCUAAAGGAAUCUUUUGUUAGUCCUAAAAACACUAGCGAAUAAGGGGUGGGCAAGUUCUGGUGUCAGCCGCCGCGGUAAAACCAGCACCUCAAGUGGUCAGGAGGAUUAUUGGGCCUAAAGCAUCCGUAGCCUGUUUUAUAAGUUUCCGGUUAAAUCCAUUAGCUCAACUAAUGGAAUGCCGGAAAUACUGUGGAACUAGGGAGUGGGAGAGGUAGACGGUACUCGGUAGGAAGGGGUAAAAUCCUUUGAUCUAUUGAUGACCACCUGUGGCGAAGGCGGUCUACCAGAACACGUUCGACGGUGAGGGAUGAAAGCUGGGGGAGCAAACCGGAUUAGAUACCCGGGUAGUCCCAGCUGUAAACGAUGCAGACUCGGUGAUGCGCUGGCUUGUGGCCAGUGCAGUGCCGCAGGGAAGCCGUUAAGUUUGCCGCCUGGGAAGUACGUACGCAAGUAUGAAACUUAAAGGAAUUGGCGGGGGAGCAC
rnacentral:rRNA from 1 species